rnacentral:tRNA from 1 species
GGCCCUAUCGUCUAGUGGUCUAGGACAUCACAUUCUCAAUGUGGUAACCCGGGUUCGAGUCCCGGUAGGGUCA